rnacentral:rRNA from 1 species
UUGAACGCUGGCGGCAUGCCUUACACAUGCAAGUCGAACGGCAGCACGGGGGCAACCCUGGUGGCGAGUGGCGAACGGGUGAGUAAUGCAUCGGAACGUGCCCUGAAGUGGGGGAUAACGUAGCGAAAGUUACGCUAAUACCGCAUAUUCUGUGAGCAGGAAAGCAGGGGAUCGCAAGACCUUGCGCUUUAGGAGCGGCCGAUGUCGGAUUAGCUAGUUGGCGAGGUAAAGGCUCACCAAGGCAACGAUCCGUAGCGGGUCUGAGAGGAUGAUCCGCCACACUGGGACUGAGACACGGCCCAGACUCCUACGGGAGGCAGCAGUGGGGAAUUUUGGACAAUGGGGGAAACCCUGAUCCAGCCAUUCCGCGUGAGUGAAGAAGGCCUUCGGGUUGUAAAGCUCUUUCAGCAGGAACGAAACGGUCGGCUUUAAUAAAGUCGGCUAAUGACGGUACCUGCAGAAGAAGCACCGGCUAACUACGU